AUUGAACGCUGGCGGCAUGCCUUACACAUGCAAGUCGAACGGUAACAGGUCUUCGGAUGCUGACGAGUGGCGAACGGGUGAGUAAUGCAUCGGAACGUGCCCAGUAGUGGGGGAUAGCCCGGCGAAAGCCGGAUUAAUACCGCAUACGACCUGAGGGUGAAAGGGGGGGAUCGCAAGACCUCUCGCUAUUGGAGCGGCCGAUGUCAGAUUAGCUAGUUGGUGGGGUAAAGGCCUACCAAGGCAACGAUCUGUAGUUGGUCUGAGAGGACGACCAGCCACACUGGGACUGAGACACGGCCCAGACUCCUACGGGAGGCAGCAGUGGGGAAUUUUGGACAAUGGGCGCAAGCCUGAUCCAGCAAUGCCGCGUGCAGGAAGAAGGCCUUCGGGUUGUAAACUGCUUUUGUACGGAACGAAACGGUCUGGGUUAAUACCCUGGGCUAAUGACGGUACCGUAAGAAUAAGCACCGGCUAACUACGUGCCAGCCGCCGCCGUAACAC
rnacentral:rRNA from 1 species